GUGAGCACAGAGCAUAAGGGAAGAUGCUUGCUGAAACGGGUCACACAGAGGAAUGGGUGUGUGAUGCAGGAUGUCAGCAGAGCAACGUGUUCGCAUAUCUUCACCUCCCUUCCCCCAGCUUCUUUUCUUCUAACGAUCAGAACAGCACGGCAGCAGAAAAGGACAAAGCUCCACACAGAAUUAAACCGCUGCAUGGCAAGAGGAAAGACAUUCUGCAAGAAAUAGAGCUGGACCACUCUCUGAACAAUAAGUCAGCCCUGAAAUGUUUUUGCGUUGUGCAUCGUUAUCAUGUCUGACUCAUUUUUCGACAUGGGAGAGGCAGUUAGAGGUCUAAGAAACUGAAAUUACGAAUACAGAAACACCAAAAGGAAUGGCAAAUCACUGAAUUGCUUAAAACAUUACGUGUGACAUCUGCAGAAAGGCUAGCUGCUAAGCAGACGGAUAUAAAGCAGAGGAGUGGCAAAUCAUUGGAGAAGAAAGAUGUUGGAAUGGCAGGAGCUAGCUCCAAUGGUUUAGUGAUAAAGCAGCACAAAGCAUGCAUCUACAAAGAGACUGCUGGAGCAGACGAUGAGCAACAGUUUUAUUCAGACCAAGCGAAAGGACCUUACAUAUCUGGACUUCCAAAGAGGUAAACAAAUCAAAUCAGAAAUCCAAAGUAAUGAGGCGAUGGAAGCGGCGGCACAGAUACUGCAGUCUUGCUCUUUUCCUCAUGGUCCUAGUAUUUGUAGGAGGCCUGAUUAUGCAGGGUCACUGGUGGUCCGGUCAAACAAACCAAGAAAAGCUUGCAUCUCAAGGGCCCCAAACUAUGAAAGUCUUCAACUACACCAUGAUGAACCAAAACAAAUUGAGAGAGCCUGAAGAGUCUAGCACACCACUAAUAUCAAGUGAAAAUGUCAUUUCAGCUUUGGAUAAAAGUUUAAUGCAGGACUUUAAAAACUCAAACAUCAGUUCAAGUGGAGAGAUGAGAGCAGAGAGGAUACUUAAAGAUGAGCCUUACAAGUACAUCCACAAUGAGCCAAAUGCAUGUCUGCUGCGGGCUCCUUUCUUAGUGCUUUUGAUCGCUGUUGAGCCCAAGAAAUCAGACGCCAGGGAUGCUAUCAGGAAAACCUGGGGCAAUGAAAGUUUGGCUGGGGAAUUAGGUGUAAUCCGUCUGUUCCUCAUAGGGGUCAACAAAGACACCCAGAGCAAUGGAGGAAAACUACAGCUUUCGAUAGAAGAUGAAAGCCGACAACAUCAUGACAUCAUCCAGCAAGAUUACAGGGAUUCUUACAAAAACCUUACCUUAAAGACUCUAAUGGGAAUGUACUGGAUCACAAAGUAUUGUCCAGAGGCCAUGUACGUCAUGAAGACUGACAGCGAUAUGUUUGUCAACACUGAAUACCUCAUACAUCAAAUCUUGAAACCCAACGGACAAGAACGGAAGUAUUUUACAGGAUAUCUAAUGAUGGACUUCUCCCCAAACCGCAACAUUCGCAGCAAGUGGUAUAUGCCACCUGAACUGUACCCGGAUAGGCGAUACCCCAACUUUUGCUCUGGGACAGGGUAUGUCUUUUCAGGUGAUAUGGCUCAGAGAAUAUAUGUGGCCUCCCUGAGCAUACCCAGGUUGCAUUUAGAAGACGUUUAUGUGGGCAUCUGUCUGGCUAAAUUAGGAAUAAAGCCAGUACCUCAAACAAACAAAAAGGUGUUCAAUCACUGGCGAGUGUCCUACUCCAGCUGCAAAUACAGCAACCUGGUCACCUCGCAUGGGUUUCACCCCAAUGAGCUAAUCCAGUAUUGGAAGCAUCUCCAGAACAAUAAGCACAAUCCUUGCCAGAGAAAAGGGUAGAAGGUUCAAACUGAUUCAGUCUUCUUUUUGAUGACUACUUUUUUGCCUAAUAGAAAAAACUAAAGGGAUUCUUUUAGGAGUUGUUGGGUGCUUUCACACUAGCACUUUUGGUCUGCAGCCAGAUUCGCUUGAAAUCCAAGUACGGUACGUUUAGCUAGUGUGAACGUGUCUUCUGAACUUGGGUGCGCACCUGUGAACCGUACUGGAGUCCGCCUGAAAGAGAUGGUCUGGGGAACGAUUCGUGCAAACUUUGGUACAUUUCACUUUUGAUAUGAAUACAAUCGUACUAAUUAACGUAACUGAAUCGCCAACUGUACAACACACUUUAGUCUUUAUAUCGUUCAGUUGUUUGUGCAUGUUUGUGUACCCCCUACCUUUGUGAUAAGCGAGACUGACCCAGUGCAAACAGCAAUAAUGUCUGCUUGUCACCACCAAAAACGACUUUUGCUGACAUAGCUGUGAUAUUCUGAAUGUUUUAUAGGUUUUUACGGCAGAUAGAUGAGAGUAGCUCUCUGUAUUUUGGUUCUGGUCACAAAAGCAAAAGAAUCAGUAAAAGUAGAAUGAUAUGUGGACCUCUCCAUUUUGUUGCUUUGCUUUUGUGGCAGUCACGUAGCAACAGCUGUACACAAAACAUCAGCUUAAUGACGCAAGCGUACUGGGGACAAUCGAACUCAGGCAAGUGAACCAAGUGUGAAAGCACCUUUACACACCAAACUCCAAAGAGCGUAAAUCUUUAUACCAGUUAGCAUGUUUUCUGAACUCACUCAAACACCUUGAAUUUUGUCCAGAAUUAUCUUUCGGGAAUGUAUGUGUCAUAAGAUUGUGAUCGGUUCCCCAAUUGUUUGCACAAAGAAAAAAAAGUGAACUUGUGUUAUUUAUGUUGGUUUGACAUGAUCUUGUGUUUUUUUGACAGUUCUUGAGAGAGAACUUAAUGUAAUACUCAAAUGAGAAUUAAAGAUAUGCACAUGCU
ensembl:antisense